rnacentral:rRNA from 1 species
AUUGAACGCUGGCGGCAGGCCUAACACAUGCAAGUCGAGCGGAUGAAGGGAGCUUGCUCCUGGAUUCAGCGGCGGACGGGUGAGUAAUGCCUAGGAAUCUGCCUGGUAGUGGGGGAUAACGUCCGGAAACGGGCGCUAAUACCGCAUACGUCCUGAGGGAGAAAGUGGGGGAUCUUCGGACCUCACGCUAUCAGAUGAGACUAGGUCGGAUUAGCUAGUUGGUGGGGUAAAGGCCUACCAAGGCGACGAUCCGUAACUGGUCUGAGAGGAUGAUCAGUCACACUGGAACUGAGACAAGGUCCAAACUCCUGCGGGAGGCACCAGUGGGGAAGAUUGGACAAUGGGCGAAAGCCUGAUCCAGCCAUGCGGCGUGUGUGAAGAAGGUCUUCGGAUUGUAAAGCACUUUAAGUUGGGAGGAAGUGCAGUAAGUUAAUACCUUGCUGUUUUGACGUUACCAACAGAAUAAGCACCGGCUAACUUCGUG